GGUCUGUUAGCUCAGUUGGUAGAGCACUCCCCUGUCACGGGAAAGGUCGCCGGGUCGUAGCCGGUACAGACCGCCA
rnacentral:tRNA from 1 species